GUGCCUGGAUGCAGUACAUUAUGACUUAACAUAAUUAAGAUAAGAUAACAUGCUCUCAGCAAGUUGAGGAUCGCCAGAAUUUUUUGAACAGAAGUGUGGCUUUGCUGACAUUCCUAAAGAGAAGGACCCUCCUCAGCACUUGUUAAAAAGAAUGGCCAUCAGGAAAGCUUACCAGACUAAUAAGCCAUCUCAUGACAUCAACUGAAUUUCCUUCCUUCCUCAAAAUCCAGGUAAUGUAACCACGAAGAAACAGAACCCAGCAAUGGACAUCAUAGGAGCUGGAGCAGGUAGGCACAUGGAGGAGCAGCAUCAGCCCCAGAAAUGAGGGAGGAAGCUGGAUAAAUGACCCUAGCUCUUUUCUUGUGAAGCUCCAACUCCAAGGUAACGCCACUGAGCUCCUACGUCUGAGCCCCAACACUUGUUUUAUUGGGACAGCCUGUGCAGUGAGCAUCUCCUAGUUUCUAAAG
rnacentral:lncRNA from 1 species